AGAAUCAACGCUGGCGGCGUGCCUAACACAUGCAAGUCGAACGCGAAGACCCCGCAAGGGGUUGUUAGCGUGGCAAACGGGUGAGUAACGCGUGGGCGAUCUACCUUCGAGUGGGGGAUAACCUUCCGAAAGGAGGGCUAAUACCGCAUGACAUCCCGUGUUUAGAUACAUGGACAUCAAAGCCGGGGUCGCAAGACCUGGCGCUUGAAGAGGAGCCCGCGUCCGAUUAGCUAGUUGGUGAGGUAACGGCUCACCAAGGCUCCGAUCGGUA
rnacentral:rRNA from 1 species